AGAUACUGCUCACGGCAUCUUCAUCCCCGAAAGAUUUUCUCUGCACUAAUUGGUCCGACCGUUUGAAACGUUUGGACCAAUUGGUCCUUCCAUUCGUUCAAACGUUGGUCCCUGGGCAGCAUCCCUCUUAGACGCCGUGAGCUUGGUCGGCCCCAUCUUCUCCUCUUCUCUUCUCGGUUUCCUUGGCUUCUUGCGAUUCAGUGGUGAAAUUAGGGCAGCUAGCCGUGAGAUUUCUUCCGAUUUUCGGCCGAUUGUUCGACGGAUUUCUGCCGAUUGUUCGACGGGAAUUCGUCAAGAUCCUCCUUCGAGCUCAUUCGAUUCAUUGGAGGUGCUUUUCUGCAUGAAUUCCGGAUUCGCGCUCCAUUAUCAGAAUCCAAUUCGUACGCCAUUGCUGUGUCCGAGAGCAAGUUUUCUUGAGCUGGUUAUGUCCCUUGUUCUUCCAAUUCACUCCAAUAGAAUUGACUCUGUUAUGUGCUUCUGAGCCAUAACCUGCUGGAGUGAAGGUCAGAAAUGGGUACCUUCGAUGGAUUGCCUGUUUCUCGAGAAAAGGCGAUAUAGUACAAGCAGAGAGAACAGAGAAAGUGCAAGCAGAAAUAACGACCCAAGGAAUGACAAAAGAUAUGGGAGGUGAGGGAAGCCAUUGGAGUGGGACAAACCAAUAUGUCAAAAAGUCCACGGCUUAUUCACCGGUUGAGGAAUCAGUCAAUCUCUGCGGGUGUGGAAAGAAGCUCCUACUACAAAUAUCUACAAAGAAACAGAGCUAUGGUAGGCGUUUCCUUAGCUGUCCCUUAUGGAAAAGAAGUGAUCUUACAUGUGGAUAUCUACAAUUUUCAACAUGUUCAGCACCUUCAUAUUCAAAU